UCUCCGUUGGUGAACCAGCGGAGGGAUCAUUGCUGGAACAAACGCCCUCACGGGUGCUACCCAGAAACCCUUUGUGAAUCGUACUCGUUGCUUCGGGGGCGACCCUGCCGUCCGCGGCUGAGCGCCCCCGGGGUCAAUCAAACACUGCAUUCUCUGCGUCGGAGUAUUAGUAAAUCUAAUCAAAACUUUCAACAACGGAUCUCUUGGUUCUGGCAUCGAUGAAGAACGCAGC
rnacentral:misc_RNA from 1 species